GACGAACGCUGGCGGCGUGCCUAAUACAUGCAAGUCGAGCGGAUUGAUGAGGGAGCUUGCUCCCGAUUCGGUUAGCGGCGGACGGGUGAGUAACACGUAGGCAACCUGCCUGCAAGCUCGGGAUAACAUCCGGAAACGGAUGCUAAUACCGGAUACGCAGCAUGAUCGCAUGAUCGAGCUGAGAAAGGCGGAGCAAUCUGCCGCUUGCAGAUGGGCCUGCGGCGCAUUAGCUAGUUGGUGAGGUAACGGCUCACCAAGGCGACGAUGCGUAGCCGACCUGAGAGGGUGAUCGGCCACACUGGGACUGAGACACGGCCCAGACUCCUACGGGAGGCAG
rnacentral:rRNA from 1 species